AGAGUUUGAUCAUGGCUCAGGAUGAACGCUAGCUACAGGCUUAACACAUGCAAGUCGAGGGGCAGCAUGGUCUUAGCUUGCUAAGGCCGAUGGCGACCGGCGCACGGGUGAGUAACACGUAUCCAACCUGCCGUCUACUCUUGGACAGCCUUCUGGAAAGGAAGAUUAAUACAAGAUGGCCAUCAGUGAGUCCGCAUGUUCACAUGAUUAAGGUAUUCCGGUAGACGAUGGGGAUGCGUUCCAUUAGAUAGUAGGCGGGGUAACGGGCCCACCUAGUCUUCGAUGGAUAGGGGUUCUGAGAGGAAGGUCCCCCACAUUGGAACUGAGACACGGUCCAAACUCCUACGGGAGGCAGCA
rnacentral:rRNA from 1 species